UGAGAGGAGCGCACGUACGUUGAGAGU
rnacentral:piRNA from 1 species